rnacentral:rRNA from 1 species
UACGAAGGGGGCUAGCGUUGCUCGGAAUUACUGGGCGUAAAGCGCACGUAGGCGGCUUUCUAAGUCGGGGGUGAAAUCCUGGAGCUCAACUCCAGAACUGCCUUCGAUACUGGAGAGCUUGAGUCCGGGAGAGGUGAGUGGAACUGCGAGUGUAGAGGUGAAAUUCGUAGAUAUUCGCAAGAACACCAGUGGCGAAGGCGGCUCACUGGCCCGGUACUGACGCUGAGGUGCGAAAGCGUGGGGGAGCAAACAGG